AUUGAACGCUGGCGGCAUGCCUUACACAUGCAAGUCGAACGGUAACGGGCCUUCGGGCGCCGACGAGUGGCGAACGGGUGAGUAAUGCAUCGGAACGUACCUUUCAGUGGGGGAUAACGUAGCGAAAGUUACGCUAAUACCGCAUAUUCUGUGAGCAGGAAAGCAGGGGAUCGCAAGACCUUGCGCUGAUUGAGCGGCCGAUGUCAGAUUAGCUAGUUGGUGAGGUAAAGGCUCACCAAGGCGACGAUCUGUAGCGGGUCUGAGAGGAUGAUCCGCCACACUGGAACUGAGACACGGUCCAGACUCCUACGGGAGGCAGCAGUGGGGAAUUUUGGACAAUGGGGGCAACCCUGAUCCAGCCAUGCCGCGUGAGUGAAGAAGG
rnacentral:rRNA from 1 species